CGAUGCACUUCCGUGUUAGGUGAGAAGGAAUGUGUACAAAAACAUGGUCACGUGGUCACAUCAGCUCCACCCACCCAUGAAGUUUAGUCCAUUUAAGCCUACUGUACUUCGAGGGCUUCAAUAGACGUCUAACUGAAAAGAUGGCUACGGGAGGGGACGAUAGUGACACAGAGGUUGAUGCCGAUUUGGAUACCUCAUCAGAUGUACAGAAUAAAACUGAACACUAUGAUGUUGCCUUGCUUUUUGCCGAAAACGACAAAAACCAGGCCCUGGAAAUAUUGGAACAAAUGGAAGAAAUAACUGUAGAAAACGGAGAGAAACCCAAAGUUUGUCUGUACACUGAUCUGCCAGGGGCAUCAGCACACACUGAAGCCGGUAGAAACCUAACAAAGGUAGCCACACUUAUACUUGUGUUGGCCACUGAGAAUCUCCAGGAUGAAGAGGUCGCAAAAUUAAUCAAGGAUGAGGCGAUAGGAAAUACUAGACUGGCAUCGAAGUGUCAUCCCGGACUUAAAUACUGUGUGAGACCUCUCUAUUUAGACAAAGAGAGGAAGGCCCACCCGCCUAGUGGUCUCUCCACCAUCCAAGAAGUGAGGUGGUACGACAAAGAUUCCAGAUGCGGUCAGAGAGACAUCAGAAUGUUACUGCAAAAUCACAUACAGUACAGAAAACAACGAGAGCGAGAGGACAGUCGUCAAAGGACUGUUCGUGACACAAGUUGUUCCAGACUACCCAAAGAUUCUACGGAUAAUAUUAAUCUUGCGGUAUCAAUUGAACCAGCGCAUCAGCAAAGGCAGGUCCUGGAGAGAGAUAUUCCAAUCGAGCGUACUCACUUGGACAGAUCUGCUGCAGUAAGACCGUCACCUAUAUGUCACCGAGAACAAGAAAAUAUGGCAACAACAACCCCAGAAGUGGGUCAGCAAAGCCUCGACUCCAUUAACCUACAGACAAAUGGGUCUUCUGUCCUGUUCAGAAGAACCAAUGAAUCUUCAGAUGCUAGAGCCCCUGGUCACUCGGCCAGUGAGAGGAACAAUCAUCAACCAUCUGACUCUACAAUGGCCCAACGUAAUAACAAUGCUGCCUAUGUCAUGAACCCUGCUCAGCGCUCUGACUUUUCAAGGGAAAGUUACCUGUCUCAAGAUGAAGCUUCUUCAAUUCGCGAUAGUUCCCCGACCAUGAAUACUGCGGAAAGCAACUGUUCCCAGGAUGCUGACUCCGAAAGAAAUCAUGAACUUCAAUUUUCAGGUUCUAGAGAAGAGCAGGGCUCAGGAACACGAAACCCAUAUCCAGGUACAGAGUUUGAAACAGACCAAGGCUCGAUGCUUGAAUCCGAUUUGGCUCAGAUAAGUCUGACAACAGAUUCACAACAUACUACAGAUCAAAUUUCCACCCGUAAGGCUUCCUCCGAUUCCGAACCUGCUAAAAAUUAUGUUUCUACAAGUAUCACUGGAAAAGACACAGAGUUUACACAGACAACGGAGUCAUUGUUGGUUGGAGGGAAUGGCAAACAGCUGACGGGUCAUCCUUUGGAGACUGGAGAUGGCACUGGAUCCUUGGUGGAGGGGAUUGAGCAUGAGACCAUGACGGAGACGGUAUUGAAACAUACAGGCCAGGCUCACAGACCAACAGCGAUAUGUGCGGCCCCGAAUGACCUUGUCUUUGGAGGUGGUGAGAAAGUUGCAGAGCCUAAUGGUGUUGCCGCGCCUAGAGUCGUUCAUUACCACACUCACUUCCAUGGUGAAGGUCCAGGUCUUUCACAAGGAGGGCCACCACAGUGGGGACUUCCAGUUCCCCUUAAUGUUGUUCGAUGCGGCAAUGUCCAGAUUGGUUCCGGUCAGCAGAUUAUAAGAGGAAUCCAGACUAUUCCGAACACCAGUGAUGAUGUCCAAAGUGACGCACCAACAACCAUUAAUCCCGAAGGCUCUCCACCGCCCUAUUCUGUCGAUGACCCAAACCAAAGACGGGAACAUCUACGCUAUGGAGUUCGUCAUGAUCUACCUCCUGAGUCGAUAUCGGACGGGUCUGAUGAAACAACGACCAAACAGGUGUUCAACAGUGAUGAGGACUUGCAAGAUGAACAAGUCUCUGAGAAGAUGAAACCGCAAAACGAAGAAAGUAACACAGAUUGGUUCCAAGAAAACGAGCCAGUGAAUACUGAUGGUGGAUCGUGCUCGCCCUCUCUUGGAGACGACUCUGGCUUUGUCGACCCCAGAGUUCAGUCUCCAGGCACAUCAACAUCAGAUGAAAACUCUCCUUCUGAGACUUCUGGAGGAUGGAGAACAGAUUUGACUUCCAUGGAGUCGGUGUUGGGCCAAGGGGAUGACCUGCCUCAGAUGAUCCCAGACAGUGGUGAUGAAGACGGGGACGUCGGUGAUGCAUCGGACACUGGAGAAACACGCACACCAAGGUUUGUAAGGAACAACUUGGGACAAGACCGGGCUACGCCGCCACUUAACACACUCAUCGUUCCCCCAAACGAGUUUCGCAACAAGGACUCAAGAAGGAGAUUUGUAUACACCCAAGCAGGAAAGCUCCUGUUGAACGCACUGGCCUCUCCCAGUAAUCACUGCAGUGACACAGACCUAGAUUAAUUAGCCUACUGGGACCUGGGUUAGCGAGACCACUCGGACCUGGAUUAUUAACCCAGUAAGACCUGGAGUUUAUACUCAUGGAAACGAAACACCUGAAAGUACAAGUGUUCUUUUAUUCUUUUCCAGGUUUCUUCACAAGCUUUGUAUUGCACUGUGAGUGAAAUUCUGGAAAAGAAUAAAGGAACACAUGUAUUUUCAGACGAUCUCUUAUUCGUUUCCAUAAGUAUAUAUAACCAUUCAGAACUGGAUUAUAAACCCACUUUGACCAGGAUUAUAAAACCACUCGAACCUGGAUUAAUUAACCCAGUAGGACCUGGAUUGUGAAACCACUCUGAACUGGAUUAUAAAACCGGCGUCUUCCCGGAAUGCCGGCACCUUUUGUUUUAGGUAGGUAAAGCAGUGGGGAUCUCCUAACCCUACGUGAGCGAAAUUCAGAAAGUGAGGGAGCGCUCAAAGUGUAUUCUUAGUCUUCAGUGAGCGAAGUUCAAUGCUUCAUGAUGGUGUAUUGGAAUAAAUGAGUACCAGUUUAUUGCGAACAGAAGAGGUGGACGAAGUUUACAAAUUCUGCAUCAAAAGUAGACUACAAAAUAGCAUUCAUUGGACAUGUUCAACGGACUGCAACGCAACUGUCAACACAAAAGAUGAUCUUGUGACUAAGCUAGGUCAGUCUCACAACCAUCCUGCAGAAGAUACCAAAAUCGCCAGAGAAAGUUUUCUUUCUAAUAUCAAGCAUAUUUACAGAGAAUGAGUGAUUGAGUUAGCUUUAAUGCCACUUUUAACAGUCAACCUGUUAUCACAGGAUGCAGGGGUUUAUGCGAUGCUUAAAUGUGCAUCAAUUAUGCACAAAUGUAGAGAAUGGACGCAGAAAAAAUUCACUGCAUCCAGAGAGACAUGCAAUAUUAUUCAUUGUACCACCAUCACAUCUACGACUUUGCUUUGCUUGGUUGUUUCUUUCAGAGCAGAUACAUGCAUCAUUUCAUCAUUCUAGUCCACAUGAUCCAUGAUUCAUUCCAAGGUCUACAGAAUUUAUCAAAACACACUCUUCUCUAUACCAUUACUUCAUAGGAACCUCAUAUUGUCAUCAAGGUCCCUUAAAACUAAUAAUUGGGGGUCCCCGGAACCCCCAUGUUUGCGAGUCGAGGUAAAACCCUGUGGAUGUAUUUUUAAUGCUGUAGGAAAGCCAGACAUGAUGAAGCAUUCGUCACCACUCGCCCCUUUCCGUAACCUGCAAGAAGAUUCGGCUUGUCCCGGAAUAACACGAGUUGGUCACGAAUGAUGAUGAAGAUGUCGUCUAGGCCAAAGAAAAUAUAUGUUCGUUUCCUGUAAAAUGUUUUUUUU
rnacentral:misc_RNA from 1 species